rnacentral:lncRNA from 1 species
GUUGUUUUACCAGACGCUUGUUCUACCCGAGUAAACGUACGAGGAGCGUUACGAUGUCCACUGUGAAGCUUGCGCUCACCCUAAUUUUCUUAACCACAGUCAUGGUGAUGAAUGUCUCAAGUCAGCGCACCCAAACAAGGCCGCAGCCGCAGUGUGUUGGUAAGCCUUGCGACCCAAGGUACUUUCAUGGGACGUGCGGCAGUGAAUGCAAUUGCGAUAACACCACUGUGAAGGGCGAGCGUGGAUACUUCUGUACACAGGCAAUAUUUUAAAUACAACCUACCAUAUGCCACGUCAUGACACGUUUGUGCAGAAAAACAAAGGCAAUAAAAUUUCUAGCACUCCUCA